UUCCCUUUUACAAAAAUGAGUGUGGGUUUUCUCUAGAAAAAGAACGACGAGUGGCUCACCUCCGACGAUAGUUUCAUCUUUAAUGACAUUAACAAUUGAUUUUUGGGGGUUUUAAAGUCGUUCAUAUCCAACAUCUUCACAAAAAGGCUGUGCUUUAAGAAAAUAAGAAACUGCUAAAGUCGAUUGAGAAAGAACAACCAAUUGCAAAACAAUGAUGAGUUACACCACAAUGUGAAACAAAUGAACAAUGUGUAGAGGACAACCAACUGUAGAGGAGCAGGUGUAAAUGGAUUCUACAAGCACUCUUCCAGUAAACGAACAAUCUGAAGAACAAGGAGAAAUAUGAUAUUACUGAAGAUGCAAAAGAAUGGGUGUUACAAGUAAUUGGGUUUGCUUGGAGAAGACAUAAAUUUGAUCUAAAGAAAUUAUGUUACAAACCAUGCAAUAAUCAUGAAAUUCUAAUGGCAAAACAACCUCCUUAUGUUUCAAAAGUGUAAACUUAAGGAACUCCUCAAAUAUUGGGAUUCCAAUAAACAUAAUGUAAAUUUAAUUUUGGAAUGACAAUUUCUCUUCUCUAUUACGAUAUGGUUGUUGGAGUUUA